GAAAGGUUUCUCUGACCAAAGCAGCCUGAGAAUCCUGCACACCUGAGCCCCCUGUGUGAUUCCUUGGAGACUGUGGUGUCUUGAAGCACAGCCAAGGACCAAGAGUCACCUGGUGCCCUUCCUUCUGCCAGGUAAAGCAGAGGAAUAAACAGCUGGAAUCCGCUAUGAUCUGUUUAGAAAACAGGAUGUGGGUGACCCCACGUUUGCAAAGCUGGCUGUCAACCAUGUUCUGCACAGUGAUGUCACACCACUGCAAACCUUUCUGUAGGCAGCCACCUGUUUUCAUGUAUUGAUCCUAAUCUUGAAACAUCUGUUCAUGGCAGAUGAUAUUGUUUUGAAUUUCAACUUUAGUGCAACCAUGUAUAAUAAAUACAUUUACAUUG